rnacentral:tRNA from 2 species
UGCCGGCGUGGCGGAAUGGCAGACGCGCUCGACUCAAAAUCGAGAGGGAAACCGUGGAGGUUCGAGUCCUCUCGCCGGUAUC